AUCCAUCUGAUGAGUCCAAAAUAGGACAAAAUAUGUGUCCUGAAU
rnacentral:hammerhead_ribozyme from 1 species